rnacentral:rRNA from 1 species
UACGUAGGGUGCGAGCGUUAAUCGGAAUUACUGGGCGUUAAGCGUGCGCAGGCGGUGAUGUAAGACAGUUGUGAAAUCCCCAGGCUCAACCUGGGAACUGCGUCUGAUACUGGAUGGCUUGAAUCCGGGAGAGGGAUGCAGAAUUCCAGGUGUAGCGGUGAAAUGCGUAGAUAUCUGGAGGAAUACCGGUGGCGAAGGCGGCAUCCUGGACCGGCAUUGACGCUGAGGAGCGAAAGCCAGGGGAGCAAACGGG